ACGGGGGGAGCAAGCGUUGUUCGGAAUCACUGGGCGUAAAGGGCGUGUAGGCGGUCAGGUAAGUGGGAUGUGAAAGCCCUCGGCUCACCCGAGGAUCUGCAUCUCAAACUGCCUGGCUUGAGUAUGGGAGAGGAUGAGGGAAUUCCUGGUGUAGCGGUGAAAUGCGUAGAUAUCAGGAGGAACACCGGUGGCGAAGGCGGGUUGCUGGGCUGACACUGACGCUGAUUGUGCGAAAGCUAGGGGAGCGAACGGGA
rnacentral:rRNA from 1 species